AACCUUUUAUAGUUCAUAGGCAUGAUGACUGGGUUCAUGCUCACAUAUAAGAUAUGCCACCCUCAAACCUUGUUACAACAUCAGCACAUUACCCAUCUGAUG